GUUCAUGUAGUUUAUAAAACAUACCAUUUUCAAUGGUAAAAAGGAGAUUAUCCCAUGAAUU
rnacentral:tRNA from 1 species